CAAAACCGGUGGGCCUCGAUCCCACAAAAAAUAGUUAACAGCUAUUUACCCAAACCAGCGGGCAUCAGUUUA
rnacentral:tRNA from 1 species